UUAACUCAGUGGUAGAGUAAGGCCAUGGUAAGGCGUAAGUCAUUGGUUCAAAUCCGAUA
rnacentral:tRNA from 1 species